rnacentral:rRNA from 1 species
GACGAACGCUGGCGGCAGGCUUAACACAUGCAAGUCGAGCGCCCCGCAAGGGGAGCGGCAGACGGGUGAGUAACGCGUGGGAAUCUACCCAUCUCUACGGAAUAACGCAUGGAAACGUGUGCUAAUACCGUAUACGUCCUUCGGGAGAAAGAUUUAUCGGAGAUGGAUGAGCCCGCGUUGGAUUAGCUGGUUGGUGGGGUAAAGGCCUACCAGGGCGACGAUCCAUAGCUGGUCUGAGAGGAUGAUCAGCCACACUGGGACUGAGACACGGCCCAGACUCCUACGGGAGGCAGCAGUGGGGAAUAUUGGACACUGGGCGCAAGCCUGAUCCAGCCAUGCCGCGUGAGUGAUGAAGGCCCUAGGGUUGUAAAGCUCUUUCACCGGUGAAGAUAAUGACGGUAACCGGAGAAGAAGCCCCGGCUAACUUCGUGCCAGCCGCCGCCGUAACAC